rnacentral:rRNA from 1 species
UACGGAGGGUGCGAGCGUUGUCCGGAAUCACUGGGCGUAAAGGGCGCGUAGGUGGCGCGGGAAGCGUGCGGUGAAAGCCCGGGGCUCAACUCCGGAAUUGCCUUUAAGACUGCAUCGCUAGAACGUCGGAGAGGUAAGUGGAAUUCCGAGUGUAGAGGUGAAAUUCGUAGAUAUUCGCAAGAACACCAGUGGCGAAGGCGGCUCACUGGCCCGAUACUGACGCUGAGGUGCGAAAGCGUGGGGAGCAAACAGGG